UACAUAAAAUACAAGCAUUAAUCGGAAUUACUGGGCGUAAAGCGUGCGCAGGCGGUGAUGUAAGACAGUUGUGAAAUCCCCGGGCUCAACCUGGGAACUGCAUCUGUGACUGCAUUGCUGGAGUGCGGCAGAGGGGGAUGGAAUUCCGCGUGUAGCAGUGAAAUGCGUAGAUAUGCGGAGGAACACCGAUGGCGAAGGCAAUCCCCUGGACCUGCACUGACGCUCAUGCACGAAAGCGUGGGGAGCAAACAGG
rnacentral:rRNA from 1 species